rnacentral:rRNA from 1 species
UACGUAGGGGGCUAGCGUUGUCCGGAUUUAUUGGGCGUAAAGAGCGUGUAGGCGGCCAGGUAGGUCUGGUGUGAAAACUCGAGGCUUAACCUCGAGAUGUCAUCGGAAACCAUCUGGCUAGAGUCCGGAAGAGGAGAGUGGAAUUCCUGGUGUAGCGGUGAAAUGCGCAGAUAUCAGGAAGAACACCAAUGGCGGAAAAGCAGCUCUCUGGGACGGUACUGACGCUGAGACGCGAAAGCGUGGGGAGCGAACAGG